rnacentral:lncRNA from 1 species
AAAACUUGAGAUAGAUAUUGUGCAAACAUCUUCAUGUUUUCAAAUCAAAAACCUGGACCCAAGUCCUUGACUUUUUCAAACUCCCUUUCAUAAUACUUCUUUGAAUCAAUCUUAAUCAUACUUUGACCCUACUUUCAUAAUCACAAUCAAUUAACUUCACACAUUCAAUUGUUUUGGCUUUGUCCAUUCCUGCUAAGUUUUCAUGCAUUAGCCAUAGGUUUCAAUUAUCAUUGUGGUUG